rnacentral:rRNA from 1 species
UACGUACGCUGGCGGCGUGGAUAAGACAUGCAAGUCGAGCGCGAUACAUCCUGCAGCAAUGUAGGAUGUGUUGAGCGGCGCAAGGGUGCGUAACACGUGGGCAACCUGCCUUGAAGCGGGGGAUAACUCCGAGAAAUCGGAGCUAAUACCGCAUGUGAAUUCUGGGAGGCCUCUUCCGGAAUUCAAAGCUGGGGAUCGUAAGACCUGGCACUUCAAGAUGGGCCCGCGGCCUAUCAGCUAGUUGGUGAGGUAACGGCUCACCAAGGCUAAGACGGGUAGCUGGUCUGAGAGGACGACCAGCCACACUGGAACUGAGACACGGUCCAGACACCUACGGGUGGCAGCAGUCGAGAAUUUUUCACAAUGGGCGCAAGCCUGAUGGAGCGACGCCGCGUGGGGGAUGAAGGGCUUCGGCUCGUAAACCCCUGUCAGCCACGAACAAUGCUCAUGACCUAACACGUCGUGAGUUGAUAGU